CCCCGCCCCCCCACACUGCGAGUGCCCGCUGCCCGCCGCCUCCCAAGCCUGCAACCCCAGCAACCCCUCUGUUAUCAGCCCAGUCUACUCCCCAACUUUCCCUCCCUGGAAGCUAGCUGCCCUGCCUGCUCUUCCCCACCACCUCCCCAUCCUUGCCUUAAGCCUCCAGACACCCUCUCUACCUUAAUCCCCAUGCUGCUGGCACCUGGGCGGGUGGGCUCCGGGCUCCCCAGCCCCCUCCCCGGGCCCAAUCCAGGCCAUCUGCUGGGGGACUCAGAGCCUCUGCCAACUGGACAGCGGUGAGCUGAGCUGGUGACUUGCCCUAGUGCUGUAGCUGGGUAAGAAGAGAUGCCAGUCAUGACUGUCCCUCAGUCACAGCUGCUGUUUCUACCAAAAAACUGUGUCCCUUUUACAGAGGGGGAAACGGGCAUCCUGGGGCCACAGCUCCUAUGCAGCUGGGGUGGGUUUGAGGCUGCGAUCUGGCCCUCAGAAUAGGGAGUGGGGAGGGCAAGGCCCACAGUUUCCCCUCGGAGAAGUUUCCCCUGAAGGAGCUCAGCGUCUCUUCUGGAGGUGGCAGGACCGGGAGGUGAGGCCUUGGGCAGAAGGUGAGGCCUUGGCCAGGCAUUCCCUGCCGUGUGCCCCAGCCUCCCCAAAUGCUCAGUGAGGGAAGCCACGUCUUGUUGGGGGCAUGGGCAGCCCCGUGGGAGUGAAGUCAGAGCCCACUCUGAGGGGUGCGGGGCUGAGCCGCUGCCUUUGCCUCUUCACGGAGACUGAGCAGAUCCCAGAGCCAGAGGGCCGGGGUGGCAGCUGCGCUGCAGGGUGGGGGCCCGAGGAUGAAGAGGGCCCGUGCAGCUGCCCUGGUGACCACCUGCAGGUGGCACUUCAAAUCCGCCCACCCAAUGACGCAGAACUGGAGGAGGGAGCCACGGUCAUUGCCCACAAAGUGGGGGACCAGGAAGAGGUGUAUGGUGCUACCAUCCAGCAUUUGGUGGAAGGUGUCAUCUCUGGGUACAACGCGACGGUGUUUGCCUGUGGCCCCUCAGGUACCAUCAAGGGCAGUGUCCCAGUAGUAAUCGGGGACUGUGACAGCAGGGUCUCGCUCUGUCGCCCGGCUGGAGCGCAGUGGCGUAGUCACAGCUCACUGAAAGCCUCGACCUCCUGGGCCCAAGCGAUCCUCCCACCUCAGCCUCCCAAGUAGCUGGGACUGUAGGCGUGUGCCACUGUGCCCGGCUAACUUUUGUAUUUUUUGUAGAGAUGAAGUGUCCUGAUGUUGCCCAAGCUUGUCUCGAACU
rnacentral:lncRNA from 1 species